rnacentral:lncRNA from 1 species
CUGAAUCACAGUAUACAGUAACCCAUCAUGUAAGCUGAUAUACAAAGCCCACAAGGCGGCCGGCCGCCGUGUGUCACCAAAUGUCAAUAUAUAGAUAGCCUCAACCUUCCCAUUUUCAGAAACCUUCUAACUGAAGUGUUACUUCACAGGAGGAAGUAAGUAGACAUGUCCAAAUUGUUGACGACGACAAUGGAAAAACAGAAUUUGAUGAGGCAGUGCAAGAGGGUCAAACUUUAACAGCUCCACAAGAACUCUGUGAUAGUAAAGAAGGCAAUAAGCAGGGAAGGCUUGGAAUGGGC